rnacentral:rRNA from 1 species
ACAAGAGGAAGAGACGGCUAACUCUGUGCCAGCAGCCGCGGUAAUACAGAGGUCUCAAGCGUUGCUCGGAAUCACUGGGCGUAAAGCGUGCGUAGGCUGUUUCGUAAGUCCUGUGGGAAAGGGCGCGGGCUCAACCCCGCCGACCGGCACAUGAUACUUGCGAGACUAGAGGUAAUGGAGGGGGAACCCGGGAUUUCUCGGUGUAGCAGUGAAAAUGCGUAGAUAUCGAGAGGAACACUCGUGGCGAAGGCGGGUUCCUGGACAUUAACUGACGCUGAGGCACGAAGGCCAGGGGAGCGAAAGGGAUUAGAUACCCCUGUAGUCCUGGCAGUAAACGGUGCACGCUUGGUGUGCGGGGAAUCGACCCCCUGCGUGCCGGAGCUAACGCGUUAAGCGUGCCGCGCUGGGGAGUACGGUCGCAAGAUUAAAACUCAAAGAAAUUGACGGGGACCCGCACAAGCGGUGGAGUAUGUGGCUUAAUUCGAUGCAACGCGAAGAACCUUACCUGGGCUUGACAUGUAAUGAACAACAUGUGAAAGCAUGCGACUCUUCGGAGGCGUUACACAGGUGCUGCAUGGCCGUCGUCAGCUCGUGUCGUGAGAUGUUUGGUUAAGUCCAGCAACGAGCGCAACCCCUGUUGCCAGUUACCAGCACGUGAAGGUGGGGACUCUGGCGAGACUGCCCAGAUCAACUGGGAGGAAGGUGGGGACGACGUCAGGUCAGUAUGGCCCUUAUGCCCAGGGCUGCACACGUACUACAAUGCCCAGUACAGAGGGGGCCGAAGCCGCGAGGCGGAGGAAAUCCUAAAAACUGGGCCCAGUUCGGAAUGUAGGCUGCAACCCGCCUACACGAAGCCGGAAUCGCUAGUAAUGGCGCAUCAGCUACGGCGCCGUGAAUACGUUCCCGGGUCUUGCACACACCGCCCGUCA